UACGUAGGUGGCAAGCGUUGUCCGGAUUUACUGGGCGUAAAGAGCGCGCAGGCGGUCGUUCAAGUCGCGUGUGAAAUCCCACGGCUCAACCGUGGAAGUGCACUCGAAACUGCAUAGCUAGAGUCCUGGAGAGGAAGGUGGAAUGCUUGGUGUAGAGGUGAAAUUCGUAGAUAUCAAGCGGAACACCGGUGGCGAAGGCGGCCUUCUGGACAGUGACUGACGCUGAGACGCGAAAGCGUGGGGAGCAAACAGG
rnacentral:rRNA from 1 species